AUCCCAGCUACUUGGGAGGCUAAGACAGGAGAAUUGCUUGAACCUGGGAGGUGGAGGUUGCAGUGAGCUGAGAUUGCGCCACUGCACUCCAGCCUAGGCAACAGAAUGAGACUCCAACUCAAAAAAAAAAAAAUGUUAAACGAUACAUUUCAUGUUUACAAGAUACAGGGUCUUGCUCUGUCACCCAGGCUAGAGUGCAGUGGCACCAUCAUAGUUCACUGAAGCCUUGACUUCCUGGACUCAAGUGAUCCUCCCACCUCAGCCUCCUUAGUAGCUGGGACCACAAGCAUGUGCCACUGUGACUGGCUUUUUUUUUUUUUUUUAAACAGAGCCUCCCUCUGUCGCCCAGGCUGGGAUGCAGUGGUGCCAUCUCAACUCACUGCAACCUCUACCUCCUGGGUUCGAGCUAUUCUCCUGCCUCAGCCUCCUGAGUAGCUGAGACUACAGAUGCCUGCCACCACACGGAGGGUCACGAAGGUGUGUUCCAAGGCCACAUCUCCAACCUCACAGAGAGGACAGGAAGUGAUCAGUACCCCAACUAGCAAGAGUGGCCCGUUCAUUGGCCGAGGUUCUUGAGGAUAGAGUGGGAGGUGGGAGCGUCCCUCGUGCUGCCUUCAUUUUUCCUACCCUCAGCUCAGGGGUCUGUGCUAGAGGAAGACACACGAAGGCUACUGUGCCCCCACCACAAGAGAGGGAAACAGGGAGACGCGUGGGUCUGGAGCCAAGCGUAUCUCUCUGUACCCAUCGCACACGAAUUUGAAUCAUCUGCUCUUUGGAAUCGCCUACACCCUGCUGCACCCACGAUGUGGCUGUAACUCCAUUAAAGAAUUGAAUAUCAUCUUCCACGGAAUCUCUGUCUGCACAAAAGGGGCACAUUUAAUUUUCUGUUUUUUAAAUAAAGGUUUAAAAAAUCCUUUUGCAAAGCGAUGAUAGAGGCACGUGGUUCGAAAUUGACAUGCACAGGAGAACAGACCAUGAAAAGUCUCUCUCCCACCCCUUCCUCCCAGCCAAAAGUUUCCUCCCACUCCAUGCCAAUGACUGUUAACUGUUUCCUGUGUCCCCAAAGAGAUGUUCUUCUAUGUGUGUCAAAGCAAAGUAUAUUUUCACUAUUCUUCCUCUUUGGUUUAUGCUGCACUCAUUUUUCUGCGUCUGGCUGUUCUCGACAGGAGUAGCAG
rnacentral:lncRNA from 1 species